CUGCAGCCAAUUAAGCCGACUGUGCCCUUUCCCCACGCGGCCCAGUGUGCAAUGGUUGUGAACAGCAGCCUCCUUGGUAGUGUAUGCAGCCUGUCGACUGUACAGGUUGCCCUAAGGGACCUUGGAGGCAGCC